UGAGGGAAAGGUGCAAAGAACUUUGAAGAGAGAGUUCAAGAGUACGUGAAACUGCUCAGGGGCAAACGGGUGGGCCCUCGAAGUCCACGCGGAGAGGGAUUCAGUCUCGGGCGCGCGGGGAGGUGCCCCGGCGGGGACAUCCUGGGUGGAUGCUCCGCGCGGGUGCGCCGCUCCUCCGGUCCGUGACGCACUUCUCUCUCCCGAAGGACGCCGCAGCCUCUCGGAGGUCGGCAGUGAGGACGAUGUGGGUAGGUAGCGCGGGCGUCGGUCUCCGCACCGGCGCCCCGUGUCUGGCCCGCAGAGGCUCCUGGCGCGAUCUCCGAGAGAGGGAGAAGGUCUCGCGCAGGCGAGACUUGCCGUUGCCUCGCGCUAAGCGAGCGGCCGCGUAGUAUCAGGGACGCUGAGUGUUUCCCGAGCGUCACCGGGCGGUGUCGCCGGGCUCGCGGUACCCGUUGGGUCUGCGCGAAAAGGACCGCGGCGCAAGGCACGUGGCUUGCGGCGAGUAGGUCGGUAACCCACCCGACCCGUCUUGAAACACGGACCAAGGAGUCUGACAUGUGCGCGAGUCAGUGGGACUCGAAUAAGCCCACGGGCGGAAGGAAAGUGAACAACAUAACAGUGUCGGGAUCCCCGUCGUCCUCCGGGAACGCGGGGCGCACCGACGGCCCGGGUACCCUUCCUCACGGUUGGAUCUCGGAGCCAGAGCGUACACGUUGGGACCCGAAAGAUGGUGAACUAUGCCCGGGCAGGUCGAAGCUAGAGGAAACUCUGGUGGAGGACCGCAGCGGUUCUGACGUGCAAAUCGAUCGUCGAACCU
rnacentral:rRNA from 1 species